rnacentral:rRNA from 1 species
GACGAACGCUGGCGGCGUGCUUAACACAUGCAAGUAGAACGGUGACGAUCAAGCUUGCUUGGUCUGAUCAGUGGCGAACGGGUGAGUAACACGUGAGUAACCUGCCCCAGACUCUGGGAUAACCCCGGGAAACCGGAGCUAAUACCGGAUAUGACACCAACCUGCAUGGGUAUGGUGUGGAAAGUUUUUCGGUCUGGGAUGGACUCGCGGCCUAUCAGCUUGUUGGUGAGGUAAUGGCUCACCAAGGCGACGACGGGUAGCCGGCCUGAGAGGGCGACCGGCCACACUGGGACUGAGACACGGCCCAG